CAGUAGCCGCGGUAAAACGUAGGUGGCAAGCGUUAUCCGGAAUUAUUGGGCGUAAAGCGCGCGUAGGCGGUUUUUUAAGUCUGAUGUGUAAGCCCACGGCUCAACCGUGGAGGGUCAUUGGAGACUGGAAAACUUGAGUGCAGAAGAGGAAAGUGGAAUUCCAUGUGUAGCGGUGAAAUGCGCAGAGAUAUGGAGGAACACCAGUGGCGAAGGCGACUUUCUGGUCUGUAACUGACGCUGAUGUGCGAAAGCGUGGGGAUCAAACAGGAUUAGAUACCCCUGUAGUCCCUGUCUCUUAUAC
rnacentral:rRNA from 1 species